ACCCAGUAGUGAUAAAAAAAAGUUUCUUCACCUGGGGAGAGGGCAAGCUAUUAACCUGCUAUCUCUUCCCACCUGGUAUUGUAGGAAUGCCUUGCACAUCCCCCCCGCUUUUUUUUUAACAUUCCCCCUUCUUGUCUGAACUGUCCUCAACAACAUAAGAUCCUCAUCAGCAUAACAACCCUGGCCAUCCUCUGAGUCAUCCAAUACUCCCUCCAAUUAUUGUGUGCACCCAAAAAUAGUGGCUAGCUCAGUGUGUCUCUGUCUUUGCCUACCCUAAGGCAUUGAGCUCCCAGCCCCCUGUGAUAAAUUACUAAAUUUGUCUCUGUCUCUUAUUUCACCCUUUUGCUGUACCCCUCAUGCAGGCAGUUGGGAAUCUUGGCCAGGUCCCCAAUGGUAAUCACACACAUGCACAGGUGCUGCCCUUUCGAGGAGGGUUCAGCCAGCCUUUCCACCAUCAUGGAAGCCUUGGUGAGCCCCUUGGGAGGGGAGAGACGCUGCCCAUUGCCUCUCCUCCAUCUUGGGAACCUCAGUGCAGAGGAACCCAGGUGCCUGGCCAUUUACCCUACACUGUGGGUCAGGCAGUCAGCACAGGAGGUGCCCGAGACUCAGCACCCAGCUCAUCCAAAGGAACCCAAGGUAAAUCCACUCUAACAAGGGAAAACACUUUGCAUACAAC
rnacentral:lncRNA from 1 species